CCUACGGGAGGCAGCAGUAGGGAAUAUUGGGCAAUGGAGGCAACUCUGACCCAGCCAUGCCGCGUGAACGAAGAAGGCGCUAUGCGUCGUAAAGUUCUUUUAGAGGGGGCGAAAACACUCGAUUUAUCGAGUACUGACGGUACCUUCGGAAUAAGCACCGGCUAACUCUGUGCCAGCAGCCGCGGUAAUACAGAGGGUGCAAGCGUUAUCCGGAAUCACUGGGUUUAAAGGGUGCGUAGGCGGGAUUAUAAGUCAGAGGUGAAAUCUCGUCGCUUAACGACGGAAUUGCCUUUGAUACUGUUUUUCUUGAAAUAUGUUGAGGUUGGCGGAAUGAGACAUGUAGCGGUGAAAUGCUUAGAUAUGUCUUAGAACACCGAUUGCGAAGGCAGCUGACUGGACAUUAUUUGACGCUGAGGCACGAAAGCGUGGGGAUCAAACAGGAUUAGAUACCCUGGUAGUCCCACGACCUAACGAUAGUUACUUGUCUGUUGUUCUUCGGUAGUGUAGUGGCGAGACGAAGACGAUAAGUAAACCAACCGUACGGGAGGUACGCCCGCCGACGGUAGGAACGUACGAAGGAAGUUAGACGGCGUGAGACGUGCCGAACGGACGACGACGACGGGAGGAGG
rnacentral:rRNA from 1 species